GCUGCAUGGCCUUCAUCAGGAAGUACAAAAAAAAAUACAAUGUCCUCACUUGAACAGCUUUUCCAAUUAGCCCUAAUUGGAAGAGGGAGUGGUUACAAAAUUGAUUAGACACACCUAGUAAGAAAUACUAUACACAUUAAAAGGUGAAAUACUGUAGCUAGGUUAUCAUGCAAAUACAACUCCAAGCUAGAAGUAUCAGAACACUUAGAAAGGUAGUUGUAACCUUAAAUAUGACUGGGAGAAGUGUCAAGAAUAAGAAAGCAAUAUAUUCUAUAGUACACUAGAACACAGCAAAACAUGAACAACAACAGUCUAAACAUAGCUGAGGGCAAUUGAACAAAAUGUUCACAAGAUGACAGCAAAUGGACCCAUCACGACCCUACAGGAAGGGUCAUCAUUGCAGAUGGGAAGGAGUUUUUUAUUUCCAGUGUUUGUAAUACCUGGACAUUUACACCCGCAGGUUUUCCGGAGUGCAGCCCGUCGUGGUUUCCUGUUGGACUUGCCAAGUGCAGUAUUUACGGAAACUGUUGCCGGGCAAAAUGUUCCUAACAGGGUUCCGUCUGCGGAACACUGACUGAACACCCUAAAGGUCAGGGUAGGGUCACCCAGAACAGGGACUGCCUCGCACACCAGUCAGUGCAUGGUGGGUGGGACCAUCUUCUUUUUUUAUCUCACAGACUCUCGGCAACUUGACUGGAACACUCCUGGGUACACUCAACAUGGCCACCGGUCCACCCAUCAAGGAAGGUUGACCUGAAUGGGAACUGAGAACUGAUCGUCAAUCCCACCUCAGACCUCAAAACAGUAUGCCUAAAAGCACCAGCAGGUGGCAGUAUUCACAAUGAAUUCCCCUGCUGUAUAGGGAGGCCAUCCCAAUCCUGGAGUCUCUCUUUCUCUUUCUCUCUUUCUCUUUUUCUCUCUCUCUGUCUCUGUCCUCUUUCAAUGAAUCCUCACACUCUUUGAGGGCCCUCCUCUACCCCUCCUCAGCCCUCUCACCAUCCUAAAGGAUUAACACUCACUUGGGUCGUUGGAGGACGAUUUGGGUCACGGGAGAACAGUACAUUUCUUUUUUGGGUCUCAAACUGAGUGUGCAACAUUAUGUUAAUAUAAGCUUCAUUUUGAAAGCGAAUGUUUUUGUAAAAACAAAAGAAGGUUAUUAAGAAUAGUUCUUGAUAAUGAUCAACCACACGAAUGGUGUUAGGUGUGAAUCAACGUGUGGUUAUUGCCCUUUAUGAAUCUUCUCUAUCUGUGACUUCUGCUGUGAGGGAACCCUGGGCUGUCCUGUCAUCUGUGUAUGUCUGUCCCAGCUGUGUGAUGUCAUCAGAAGGAAGUUCUUCCACCAGGCCAGACACAACCUGUUUGCUCCCGUCAGGGGCCAAGGGCCAGGGGGCCGCCGUAACACACGGUAACCUGACACGCCAUCAAUGUCGGGGAGAAAACUGCUGGUCUCUCCCAGACAAGGGCGUUAUUUAUUUUCUCUGGACUUGAGGAAAUUCAAUUCCUCUUCCUCCUAGUCACUCAGCCUUUGCAGCCUUCAGACUGAGGCUUGUCUUGAACUCUCAGACAGAGAAAAGACCCCAUUUUGAGAGACAUAACAGAAUGGUUUUGAGGUCAGUGAGAGAAUUAUAGAGUUGUAUCACAUUCAUUUUGUUUCUUGAGCAAUUUGUCAUUUGAUCCAAUCAAUGUUUCAAAUGUUUCUCAGAAAGCAUUGGCUGGUGCUAGGCUAGCCGCAGAGAGGACAGACACAGAGACGACUCUCAUGAUUUUAUGUAAUCUCAGACUUCUUACACAUGCUUCCCUCACUCCAGCCAGAUCUCAGGAUUAUUCACUUUUCUGCCUCAUCAAGUCAUUCUAGGAUUAGAGGCGUGAGAAGGAUAAAUGUGCAUUGCAUCCCUGUAAAUAAUCAGAAGUCAUGUAAAUACUUCAGUUUGAAAACUAGCUUGUCCAAAAACGUGGUCACUUGGCAAAACGUUGCCCGGUAUGGUGUAAAUUGAGCCACGGGACAUGGUAAGUUAAGCUACCUACACAUUUUUUGUACUGAAUGAAAUAUUACCACAACCUCUUAAAACUAUCUUAUUUCCCAAACACAAUUCAACACAAUCACUUUUUUGUAUUUUAACAAUUUGAAGCAUAUUUUAACACAAGCUUAACUCCUAACAAACACGUUGUACUUUUUAAAACAAUUUUAACAUAGGCCAGGCCCUGUUGUUACCUCAUAUCCCAGGGAUAAUAGCUUGUAUUACACCUGGGAAAAAGACACUGCUCAACUUGCCAUUGGCUCAACUUACCCCAAGGCAAACAUUUUGACAAUAUUAGCCCACACAGUUACAAGGAUGCACUUUCUUGCUAGGUUUUGGACCUCAUAUGGAAGCUUACAGAGACCCUCUGAAGCAUUGAACAAUCUUUAAAUGAUCUACUUUGGUUUAGAUACAAGCAUCACGAAACCUCUAACACAGUUAAGUAAUUUGACUUGUCGAAAAUCUUUUUCAUUUUUUUUUUACCUAAGUUGCUUACCACCUUUUCCAUGUGUGUUUAAUAAAGAUUGAGUGGUUUCAUG